UCAGAAUCCGUGCUAGAAACGAUGAUGUUGGUGUCGCACAUUAGACUUGUGUUUAAAUAGAGCUUUGCUCGUGAACCAAAUAUGGUGGGCUGGGUUGUCUUUGCGGAAACGCUUAGGCGACUUGUCUACGAAUUGUAAUCAUAAUAUGGGCGGCGGUGAAUCCUUUGCAGACGACUUGAAUGGGAACGGGGUACUGUAAGUGGUAGAGUAGCCUUGUUGCUACGAUCCACUGAGGUUAAGCCCUUGUUCUAAAGAUUUGUUCA
rnacentral:rRNA from 1 species